GUGGGGAAUAUUGGACAAUGGGGGGAACCAUGAUCCAGCCAUGCCGCGUGUGUGAAGAAGGCCUUUUGGUUGUAAAGCACUUUAAGCGAGGAGGAGGCUACCGAGAUUAAUACUCUUGGAUAGUGGACGUUACUCGCAGAAUAAGCACCGGCUAACUCUGUGCUAGCAGCCGCGGUAAUACAGAGGGUGCAAGCGUUAAUCGGAUUUACUGGGCGUAAAGCGCGCGUAGGUGGCCAAUUAAGUCAAAUGUGAAAUCCCCGAGCUUAACUUGGGAAUUGCAUUCGAUACUGGUUGGCUAGAGUAUGGGAGAGGAUGGUAGAAUUCCAGGUGUAGCGGUGAAAUGCGUAGAGAUCUGGAGGAAUACCGAUGGCGAAGGCAGCCAUCUGGCCUAAUACUGACACUGAGGUGCGAAAGCAUGGGGAGCAAACAGGAUUAGAUACCCCAGUAGUCC
rnacentral:rRNA from 1 species